AUUGAACGCUGGCGGCAGGCCUAACACAUGCAAGUCGAACGAGUGGCGGACGGGUGCGUAAUGUCUGGGACACUGCCUGAUGGCGGGGGAUAACUACUGGAAACGGUAGCUAAUACCGCAUACCAUCGGAUGUGCACAGAUGGGAUUAGCUAGUAGGUGGGGUAACGGCUCACCUAGGCGACGAUCACUAGCUGGUCUGAGAGGAUGACCAGCCACACGGGAACUGAGACACGGUCCAGACUCCGACGGGAGGCAUGAGUGGGGAAUAUUGCACAAUGGGCGCAAGCCUGAUGCAGCCAGGCCGCGUGUAUGAAGAAGGCCUUCGGGUUGUAAAGUACUUUCAGCUGGGAGGCGUUACCCGCAGAAGAAGCACCGGCUAACUCCGUGCCAGCAGCCGCGGUAAUAC
rnacentral:rRNA from 1 species